UCCUGGUGCGGUCGUGCCGUUGCGGGGCGCAGCCGGUAGCGCGGAGCUCCGGGGCCUGGAGCGAUGUCGGGUGGCUGAGAUUGGAGCCGCGGAGUUGCUGUGUCGGUGCUCUGGUGUUUGCCGGUUGCGGUUCUGGUGCUCGGUGAGGGGUCAGGGAAGGACGCGGAGGGGGCGGUGUGGUCGGUCGGUGAAGCCGUGCUGCGUGCAGCCCCGGGGCUUGGAGCCGCGUGGGGUCAUUGAGUGGUGCUGUGCGAGGGGGCUGCGGCCGUAAUGUUCGGUUGGGAGCCCAGUAGGUAGCAGCUCUAUUAACUGAGUCCUCGGCUGGCCCUAAUGCCCAGCUGCGUGCGUGCUUCUCCUAGCCCGAGUGCCCAGAGCCCCAGCGGCUGUUAGUUCUGAGCAGCCUACCGGCUGCAGCCCUUGCUGCCCGCUCCUCGCAGCCUGCUGGCCCAGAGGUGGUUCGGCUGAGGCCCGGUGUUUGCAGCCCCGAUACCAAAUCCAGAUCGCAGAGCCUGACCGCUGAACCCCACCGCUGCUGCACCAUGCCGUGCCGCCGUGAGAUGCUGGCCCUGGUGGCCGUGCUGGGCUGGCUGCUGGUGCUGCUGCUGGACCUGCAGGUGCUGGCGCUGCUUUGUGGGACCGCAGCAGUGCUGGGUGGGUGGCUGGGACCCCGAGCUCUGAGCAGGCCAGGCUGGAGGCUGCGCUUAGAGCGCUUUGCUGGAUCCCUGCGGCCGGCGGCACACAGCCCUGAGGCGGAGGAGCUGCUGGAGCAGGAGAUCAGCAGCACCGUCAGGAAAGUGGUGAGGGACUUCGUCUCCUCGUGGUACCGCACAGUCAGCAGUGAGCACGCCUUUGAGGCUGAGGUGGAGAAGGCCAUGAUGGGGCUGGCAGCUGAGCUGAGGCGGCGGAUGGCACGGGUUGACCGCCAGGCCCUGGCCCGCCGGCUGCUCCUGCUGUGCGGCCGUCACCUGCAGAGCUACCUGCAGGCCCUACGGGGACACGGGCUGCUGUGGGAGGAGUACCGCCGGGUCGCGGGCCUGCAUCCAGCCCUCUGCAGCCCGGCAGCUGAGGUGAGCUAUGCCCGUGCCUCUGUGGAGCUGCUGCUGCGGGCUUUGGUGCCUCGGCCCCACCUGGAGACGCGGACGGGUCGCUUUGUGGUGGUGGAGCUGGUGGCCUGCAACGUGCUGCUGCCCGCCAUCAGGAAGAUGGCUGACCCCGACUGGAUCAACCUGCUGCUGGUUGGGGCCUUCCCCAGGAAGGCACAGGGCGAGGAGCCCAGCCCUGCAGUUCCAGUGCCAGACUCUCUGCCUCUCACAGUUCAGCUGGGUGCUGCCCCAGCAGUACUGCUUCUAUCCCCAUCACCUGGGCGAGAAGCAGGGGCUGGUGGUGAGGAUGGUGUGGAUGUGCUGUGUGAGCCACCCUGUAGUGAGGGGGUUGUCUUGAGGCCACGAGGCCUGGGCUUGCUGUUUCCUUAUGAGGGUUUGGAGCUGGAUUCUCCAGGCCAGGAUGUGGAGCUGCUGGCACCAUCACCUGCUGGGGAGUUUCUUGAUGAGCAUCUCCCUGAUGUUCCCACUCCGUUGGAGGGAGCAGACACUUCAGAGGAUGGGAUGGGGGAUCUGGAGGAUGGCCAUACCACCAGUAGUGAUGCUGGACUGCUACUCCCAUCUGCUUAUGUUCUGGGCUCCUGCCCUGACAUCCAGAUUGAUCCAGUGAUGGAGACAGAGGAGGACAGUCCCAAGAAGUGCUCUGUGCAACGGCCCUGCAGCUUGGGGAGAGAAUUGGGAACACCAGAGGCCCUGCCACAAAGCCCAUCAGACCCUGUUCAGCCCCUUCCCCUGCUCUCAUCCUCCCCAACUGCUCCCAUCAGCACCUUCAGCUUUGAGCCCCUCAGCAGCCCCGAUGGACCAGUGGUCAUCCAGAACCUGCGCAUAACCGGCACCAUCACCGCCCGUGAGCACAGCGGGACUGGCUUCCACCCCUACACCUUGUACACCAUCAAGUAUGAGACAGCCCUGGAGGGUGAGGUUGCAGGCAGCCUUCAGCAGAUGGCCUACCACACUGUGAACCGCCGCUACCGGGAGUUCCUCAACCUGCAGACCAGGCUGGAGGAGAAACCGGAGCUCCGCAAGUUCCUGAAAAAUAUCAAAGGACCAAAGAAACUGUUCCCUGAUCUCCCAUUUGGAAAUAUGGACAGCGAUAAAGUGGAAGCCAGAAAAAGUCUGCUGGAAUCUUUCUUGAAGCAAUUGUGUGCAGUCCCUGAGAUUGCAAACAGUGAGGAGGUGCAGGAGUUCCUCGCUCUGAACACCGACGCCAGGAUUGCAUUUGUCAAGAAGCCCUUUGUUGUCUCCAGGAUAGACAAGAUUGUUGUAAAUGCCAUUGUGGACACCCUGAAGACAGCAUUCCCCAGGUCAGAGCCCCAGAGCCCCACAGAGGAUCUGAGUGAGUCUGAAGUGGAUGGGAAAUAUCAGCCAGAUGGGAAGAAGGCAAACAAGUCCAGGCUGAGGUUCCCAUCCAGCAAAAUCACUCCAGUGCUGAGUGUGAGUGAAGCACAUGACAGGAUUGUGUACUCUGUGAGGGAGGGCAGUGCUGUCUCUGGCACGCUGUCACUGGCUGCUAUGGAGUCCUUCAUCCAGAAGCAGGAGAAGCUGCUGGAAGCAGUCCCCAGCAAAGCUCCUGAGGGCGAGGGGAGCGAAGAAGCCAAGGAAAAAUCUGUGCAGGAAGAUACAGAUGGGCUGAACACGUUGGAGCAGGGAGCACAUCUGGACACAGACACGGACUCUGAGACUGCUUUGGCUGACCUGGCCCUGGACUUGCUGCGUUUGCUGCUGAUGGAUCACUGGAGCUGGCUGUGCAUAGAGAAUAUCCAGAAGGUCUUCCACCUGCUCUUUGGGACCCUCAUUCAAAGGUGGCUGGAAGUCCAGGUGGUCAACCUGACCUGCACCCAGCGCUGGGUGCAGUACCUCCAGCUGCUGCAGGAGUCCAUCUGGCCUGGAGGAGUUCUGCCAGAAGUGCCCAAACCAGCCAGGACAGAGGAACAGAAGAAAGCAGCUGCAGAGCAGGCCCUGCAGAGCCUGAUGGGGAUCUUGCCUAAUGUGGUCCAAGAAAUCCUUGGAACCGAUAAAUGUCGCAUGAGCUGGAGCCUGGUGCUGGAGUCGUUGGGCCAUCCUGUUAUAAACAGGCACCUGGUUUUCUGCCUCUUGGACAUUCUGCUGGAGUUCUUGGUUCUGAAAGGCUCCAGUGAUGAGCUGGAGACUGCAACUGUCGUGCCAUCUGACUCUAGUGGUCUGGAGAAAGCAGGUGGUGCAGCACAUUAACAAGGGCUGGUGUAGCCAGCAGUGAAGGAGAGAAGCCACAGGCAUGGGCUGAUUUAAUUUUUGAUGCUUACUGAACAUGUCUGGGAGCUUCUUGUUAAGAAUUCUUCCAGCUGUAACUAAAUGAGGCUGCUUCCAGGCUUCUCUGUUUUGUCUGGGUGAUGGAUUAGACCCAGUGUCGCUGGCUGAUGAGCUCUUUCUGCCAUGUAGAACCUGUUCCAUUGCUGAUCUGGUGGAGAGCCUGGGCUGAAGCUUUCUGACUUCUGUGCAGCUGGAUGGUCUGAGAAGGAUGUGCAGGCUGCCCACAGAUGAUGCUGGAAUGUCAUGUCCUGCCCAUGUGCCUGACCAGUCCUAAUGUAUAAAGGCAGAUGGCACACAAGCUUUGCUUCUGUGACUUCAAGCUCCACCUGGCAUUGGCAUGCAGAGAUGUGGUGUGAUGGUAUCUAGCUGACAGGUGACAGGAAGGCCAAAUGCUGUCCCUGCUCUCUCUAAGCAGCCUGCCCCGUGCCAUCUGUUUUACCAGAAGGAAGAUGGGGAGUGGAUGGAGUGUGAUGACAUCAGCCAUGGAGUCAGCCAGGAGCUCAUCCCUGCAUCCCACGUGAUUGGGAAGCUGGAAGACAAGCUGUCUCCUUGCUGCCACGCUGACGCAGUCUUGUUCUGGCAUCUUUUGCUGACUGAAUAUCAAGAGGCAAGUUGGGUAGACUGAUCCUAGGAGAGAGAACUGUUCCCUUGCCUGAAGAGGACUGGUAACUUAAUUGGACUUCAGGAUGACUGUGUAUUUUGCCUGAUGGGUCAUAGUUCAGUCCCACAGACAUUCACUUGGAGGGCACAGGAGAGAAGGAGCUGACCUCUGUGUGGCACACAGCACAUAAAUUGUGUCCUGCACAGUGCUCCUCACAGCGAGCUCCAGGAGAGGAGUGAACACCUCUGAGGCCAGAAGGAAUGCUGAAUGUGUGCCAGGGGGUGUCAGCUGUUAAAUGGCCUUCAGAGCAGCACCUUACCUCUGCCAGACCAAUGACAAGGACCUGGAAAGUGCAUGCAAGCAGACCUGUCUGUAUUUCUGCCAGGAUGUGGAUCACUGAACUGAUCAGUGCAGGACUUUGCAAAUCAAGGAGAUGCUGCUCCUGGUGUUCUCAACAGAUUAAAGCACUGGAAAGAGGAGGCAUUGCAAGAGGAAAGCAUGCAAGAUCUCAGCUCAUUUCCGUGUUACUGUACCGAGUGGUGCUUUUCAUGCAGUUUCUUGGAGUGCUGAGAUCAUGUAAUUUGAACAUGUACACUACUGACAGCAGAGCCUCUGCCCUUCCCAGAGACAGCUGCUUAAUGAUGGACACAUGGCUGUGUUUCUUCAUGCUUCUGGUUCCUUCUGUAGCGGCCAGAUCAUCUUGAGCAUCAGGCAGCAGUGCUGGCUGGAUCUCGGAUGCUGUUUGCUUGGGUAAGGCUCACUGACUUCUGCUGCUCAGGAAAUACCCCCAAACCCACCUGUGGAUGCUCACCCCAACCCUCACCCUCCCACCCCAAGGCUCUGGGUUGAUGCUUGCACAUUCCUGCACGAGGACCACCAGCAGUAGAGGGAUUUGCUGCAGGCUGUGGCAGGUUGCCCUGAGAUGCUCUGAGGAAUCGAACUCUUUCACUGCUCAGGCUUUGGGUGAGUGUUUCACAGCCCCCAGAUACUGCCAAGCAGAGCAAAGGGGAUGCAGCACAGGGCAUCCCAUCCAGCAGAGCAGCACCCCUGGGCAUCCUGUCCCUCCUGGAGGUACCACCAUCCCUACAGUACCACCAUCCCCAGGGUACCACCAUCCUCAGGAUGCCACCAGCAUCCCUGGCCGGCAGCACGGCAUGGGCAGCAGGUGCAGGGAUGGAGGCAGGAAACUGUUUAUAGAGCUUAGGAAAAGCUGAGGUUUCUGGCAGGUUCCUGAGACGCUGGGUUUGGCCCAGGGCUCCGCUGUAUAAAUUGUGGGAUUAGAGUCAAACAUGAAACCGGAGCAAGAGGCCAAAGGCAGAGCUGGCAGCUGGCUGGAAGGACUUUUUUCUCUGCGCGUGUCCAAGGGAUGCUUUUGGAGGAGAGAAGGGUAAGAAAGAAAGGGAAGCCAGCAAAACAGGGGUGAAAAUGACCCCAAAAAUAAGAAGGAUGCAACAAGAAGGCAGUGGUGAAGUGAAUGCAGAGGCUUCUUGGUGGGAAGCAUCUGCAUAGAAAGGUUGCAGAGGGGAUGGGAAAAGUCACCAUCUCCCAGUGUCACACCGGGUGCUCCCUGACCUGGCACCAGUCCUCGCUGACACCCAGCACUGCCAUGCUCGUGGCGCUGUGAUUUUAUCCCUGGUUCUGCUCGAGGUGCUGUUUCUGAGUUCACAGCCGUGCACUGGGCUGACCUCCCGCUCCCCGUGCUGUUUGGUUUGGAUUAGCUGACUCACGGCUGUUUGGUGGGGCCAAGGCAAAAACACAUCCAUCCAUGCAGGGCACAGAGGGAGAUCUUGUCUACAAAGCGCUGAUGCGAUGUGAGGUUGGCAGGAGAGCAGUGUUUUCCUGAGAGCCUUAGCAAAACCUGUGAUUUUUCAUAGAAAGCUCCCUACUUGCUGUAGGUAUCUCCCAGCACCAAGGGAUGCACAGAUUUCCAACAUCAGCAAUGUUAUCUCCGUCCUCCCAGCUUUGUUUUCCCUAAGCAGCCACACAGACGUGCCUGGGAUGGAAGUCAGACAUGGUCUGAAUAGACACGAGGAAUUCAAGCUGGGAAAGUCAGACCCUGUGCACAAAGCAGGAAUUGGAAAGCAGAGCCACUCAGUCCCUGUGUUGCCUUCUUGCUGCCAUGGGCAUCUUCUAAAAACCCCAUCCUUUCACCAGAUGGUCCUUUGGCCCAUCAGGAGACGCAUGACCCUCCAAGAUGGGUGUCAGCUCCCUAUUUCUUCUGCUCCUGGCUGUUGGAAAGGCAUCCCUGUGUGCUCAUCACUUUCUCCAUUUACAAGUUCUUUCUCUAAACUCCCCAGCCAGGAUCUGGCUCUGUCUCCUCCAUCACCAGCACUGCCCAUCCAUCUACAAGGGGCUGGAAGCAUCGGGGUAAGCUGGGAGGCUCAGAUGUGAAUACAGCCUCAGGUUGCUCAACUUUCUUCUCUUUCCCAAAUUUCUUCUCAGUCCCAGGUUUGGUCUCAGCUCAAAGCAGAAAGAAGGGUGAAGCAGCAAGAUUUGGAUCAGACCCAAUUUUAGGCACGGAGUUGUUCCCAGUAACAUUCCUUCCUGCGAACCAGAGUGCCGGUUCAAAGCAGAUGGGUUGGUAGCACUCCCAAAUUCCUCGUUGUGCUGGAAUUUAUGCAAAAUGUAUAGAAUUAAUGAGCGCAGGGGAAAGGCACUUGGACCGUCCUCACGUUCCUGACCUCUGUGCCACCGCUCCACUCUGCUGUAUGUCACCCAGAGCUCUCCCCAGACAAUGUCCCAUUGAUUGCCCAAGGGGAUCAUGGCACUGGGGGGGCCGUGCUGAUGCUCUGCAGCGUGGCUGGGCACUGCUGGGCUGUUGGGAACACAUUGCACAAUGCCCAGCCUGUGUCUGUUGGUGCAUCACCAAUACAGUGUCACAGGGGGCAACACAAGGGUCUCAUGGUGCAGGGGCACAGACAUGCCUUUCUCAGGACGAUGAGAGUCAUUGAUUUAUUCCCUUUUCACACUGGAAACAGAAUGCCCUUUAAAAAGAAAGCUUGAGCAGCGCUGCCCCCCUCUCACCCUGCUGCAAACCCUGAGCUCACCGUGGGUGAUGUGACCCAUCUGGAGGAGAACCCAGCCCCUUGCUUCCAGAGCAUCCAUCAGAACCUCUUCCCAUGGGCAGUGUCCCUAGAUUCCUAUUUUUCAUCUGAGUCCGGGGGGAAGAAGAGCUCAAUCAAGAAACUCCUGGCCCAGCUGCAGUUUGCAGUGCAGGGCAGGAACCCAGGCAUUGCUGAGCAAGGUACCAGCAUGGCCAUGGGAUGCGUGGCAGCUCUGAGGGCUGGGAUCCCCGUCCCUAUUCUGUCCCCAGGGCCAUGCAGGGGCUUUGCUCAUCCCAGCUGCCCUGUGCCACGCAGGGAUGCUGCUUGAUUGUGUUUUACUUAACCUUUAAUACCAUGUUAUUUCUAUUUAAGCCUCAUUCCAAAACAGAGCCUACAAGUGAUAACAGAGCAAACAGACCUUCUGUCCCUUCUCCCUCCCUGAGGAAAUAUUUUUAGCUCUCGUAAACACAAACCAUUUAAGCACUUGAGAGCAUCCCAAGGGUUGCAGUCUUCCUCUCCAUCCUUUGCAGCCUACAGCACAACCCCAAAUCACACCCUGAUUUCUGGGCUCAGGCACCAUUGCAGACACAGCUCUGCAAAGCAGGCGCUAAACUGGGAGUUACUUUCAAAGGAAACCCAAAGGAAGAAGCUGUUCAGAGCUCAGCUGGCUUUCCCACAAUGUCUCAUGGCUCUGAAAACAUCUCGUCCCUGUUGCUCCUGCUCCCAAAUGCAGUGCAGGAGAUGCUGAGCUGAGGUGACUGGUGACUGCACCAAAAUGCAUCUCUCCAACAUCUGCUUCCAGCUUUGGUCACAGAAUCACUGCACUUCUCACCAAGUGUUCCUAAAAAUUCAUGGAAAAUUCAUCCAUAGAGUGUGCUGAGCACAAGAUGUCUCCAGGAAUAGGGACAGCCAAGAAAAGGUUGGAGGAAGCCACCAGUGCUGGGAAAGGAAACUGGGAAAUGCUUUGAUGAGAGCACAUAUGGUGCGUGCUUGGAUGCAGCAGUCCGCCAAAGAAGCUGGGGACUGGGACAUGGUUUGGGACAGAAAGAGACUGUGGGACCUGGGGUGGCUUUGUAGAGCUUGGCUGGCUGGGGAGCUGCAGCCUGGGGAAGGGGCUCAGUGGCACUCGGAUGGAGCGAGAUCAGAGCUGGGCUCACAUCCAAGGUUCAGGGCAGGGCACAACUGCAAAUUUCCCAAGCUACCCAAGCUCCUGGGCCUGCAGCUCUGCAGCCUCCUGGGAUCAGAUUCCCAUAAUGGAUUCCCAGCUGCAAAGAUAGAAAGCAUCCCAAAAGGGGCAAAGUACCAUCUGCUGAGCAGCCUCGUUCUCAGGCUAUUUGGGGUAUUUUUAUUUCUGAAGAAAGCAGAGAGCCAGGAGGAAUUUCACCCUGAUUCCAAACUCCUGUUUUCCUUUUCCCUUCCCCUGCAGUGAUGCAACCCCAUCCAACAGUAGCAGCUCUUCCCACCAUCCUGUCCCCAGAUCUCUCUUGCUGUGAAAGCAUCCCAUUGCCAUCACGUGCAAAAGGGCACAAACUUGUGCUCUGCUUUCUCCCUCCAUUAGGCAUGUCUAGAAGUGAUUUUCCCAGUUCAACCCAGUAAGUGACUUAAGGCAUCCAUGGGACGUGCCAGGUGGUCCAUUUGGUCUGUGGAUGCAUUUGGUUUUGGUCAGGGCCACAGGAGCCAUCCGAGUGCUUCCUCUGAGCGUGCCAUGAGCAGCCCCAAUGCUGAACUAAUGUUAUCUUAGCAAAUGGCUUUGUUAUGGCUGGGGGAUUCCUUGAGGGGCAGUUUUUAAUCUCGCAAAGCAGCAAUCCUGAUGCAGGGGGAAGUCUUUCACUAUCGGCUCUGAGGGGCUCUCAGAUGGGAGAUUAGGGGAAAGGCACACGAAUCCCAUUCCCAAAGAAGGAAAACGUGGAGUCUCUUUGCUGAGGUGUGGGAAUGCCUGGGGGAUGCUCAGUGCAGCUCCAACCGCAUGAAUGCCAUCACAUCCACAGCAGCACCACCUCUCCUUUACUCUUUUUGUUCAUCCCCACGCAGCCCAACCCAGUGUGCCCACUGCCCACAUCCCUCAGUACCACAUCCCCACAGCUCUGCAACACCCCCAGGAAUGGUGACCCCCCCCACCCCCCUUGGGGAGCUGUGUGAUGCAGCACUGCUCUCCUCCCCAGAAACUGAAACCGGUCCUUGGAAAGAAGCAGAGGAGCAGACGAAGGGCUGAAUCCUGAGGAUGUGAAGUGCUUUGCGUAUCCCCUGCAGCCAACCAGCCUCUGCUACAGCAAAGCAAUGGAAUUUCUUGCAAACGUCCUGAUCUAUCUGAUAUUUUCCUGACCUAUCCCCAAAAAGCCAGUCCUAAUGUCUAGAACAAGGAGGACACGGCUGCGCCUGCAUCUCCUAACCUACUGGCAUCCAUUGGCUGCAUCCAUCCGUCUCCCUGCGCUUUAUCAACAUCUCCAGCCUCUGUGCCACGAGGGGAAUGUCAUCGGGUUUUUAUCUCCUUUCUGCUCUGGGCUUAUCAGUGAUUUGUUUAAUUCGAGUUUAUGGCUUCCCUUGUUCAUUUUGUCACUCGGUUUCCUCAAUCCCGAUGGCUGCCGAAAGGAGACAAUGAAAUUUUAAAUAAAUAAAUAAAUGAAGGCAAAUAA